GACGAACGCUGGCGGCGUGCUUAACACAUGCAAGUCGAACGGAAAGGCCCUGCUUUUGUGGGGUGCUCGAGUGGCGAACGGGUGAGUAACACGUGAGUAACCUGCCCUUGACUUUGGGAUAACUUCAGGAAACUGGGGCUAAUACCGGAUAGGAUCUCCUGCUGCAUGGUGGGGGUUGGAAAGUUUCGGCGGUUGGGGAUGGACUCGCGGCUUAUCAGCUUGUUGGUGGGGUAGUGGCUUACCAAGGCUUUGACGGGUAGCCGGCCUGAGAGGGUGACCGGCCACAUUGGGACUGAGAUACGGACCAGACUCCUACGGGAGGCAGCAGUGGGGAAUAUUGCAGAAUGGGCGGACGCCUGAUGCAGCGACGCCGCGUGCGGGAUGACGGCUUUCGGGUUGUGAACCGAUUUCGCCGGUGACGAAGCGUGAGUGACGGUAAUGGGUAAAGAAGCAACGGCUAACUACGUG
rnacentral:rRNA from 1 species